ensembl:snoRNA SNORA70 Small nucleolar RNA SNORA70
UUAAAAGUAAUGGUCAUACUGUGCUCUUUUCCCAUGGGGCCUAGUGUACAGUGGCUACAAAGAGUAGCCUCCUUGGCAAUGUAUGAUUACAUUGCCUGUUGAUUGUAUGGGUGGGCCCUAAAUGACCUUUAAGACAUCU